ensembl:snoRNA SNORA75 Small nucleolar RNA SNORA75
CGCUUCUCAUGAGCUCCUCUCCGUCAGUCCAGUGGCGGUGUAUGGAUUCGCACGAGAAGUAGAGUCAAAAUCACAGUUAAUCAGGUGUUCUCAGUGUUGCACCGAUGUCUGAUGUGAGACACUU